rnacentral:lncRNA from 1 species
AGCAAUAUUUCGGACAUGGUGAGCUUCAUGAAUUAGAGAUCAAGUUUUGGGUGCACCAUGAUUAGAGAAUCAUUGGACAAGAGUUGUCCACUCAUCAGUUGACCCAUCACCAAUAACGAUUAGGUGAGGUGGUGAGCCAAUCGGUGAGACCGUACCACCCACUAGAAAUCACUAAUCAUGAAGAUUUUCACAUCUCUACCUAGGGAGUGUAGGGAUCUGAGAAAAUAGUAGAAGCCUAAUUUGUUUACAAAUGAAACUCUUAAAUAAAUUGGUUAAGUCUGAUUACAAAAUCUAACUAAAAACUCUUGACUUUCUACAGGAAACAUGUCUGCAUCCAACCCCCUAACCAAAAUACUAAACACCCAC